UACAGAGGGUGCGAGCGUUAAUCGGAAUUACUGGGCGUAAAGCGCGCGUAGGCGGCUUGUUAAGUCAAAUGUGAAAUCCCCGAGCUUAACUUGGGCAUUGCAUUCGAUACUGGCAAGCUAGAGUAUGGGAGAGGAAGGUAGAAUUCCAGGUGUAGCGGUGAAAUGCGUAGAGAUCUGGAGGAAUACCGAUGGCGAAGGCAGCCUUCUGGCCUAAUACUGACGCUGAGGUGCGAAAGCAUGGGGAGCAAACAGG
rnacentral:rRNA from 2 species